rnacentral:rRNA from 1 species
AUACGAAGGGGACUAGCGUUGUUCGGAAUUACUGGGCGUAAAGCGCGCGUAGGCGGAUUAGUAAGUUAGGGGUGAAAUCCCGAGGCUCAACCUCGGAACUGCCUCUAAAACUGCUAGGCUCGAGUUCGAGAGAGGUGAGUGGAAUUCCUAGUGUAGAGGUGAAAUUCGUAGAUAUUAGGAGGAACACCAGUGGCGAAGGCGGCUCACUGGCUCGAUACUGACGCUGAGGUACGAAAGUGUGGGGAGCAAACAGGAUUAGAAACCCCAGUAGUCC